rnacentral:rRNA from 1 species
CACGCCGUAAACGAUGGAUACUAGGUGUAGGGGGUAUCGACCCCCCCUGUGCCGGAGUUAACGCAAUAAGUAUCCCGCCUGGGGAGUACGUGCGCAAGCAUGAAACUCAAAGGAAUUGACGGGGACCCGCACAAGCAGCGGAGCAUGUGGUUUAAUUCGAAGCAACGCGAAGAACCUUACCAGGGCUUGACAUGCCGAUGACAGGUAUAGAGAUAUACCCUCCCUUCGGGGCAUUGGACACAGGUGG